rnacentral:rRNA from 1 species
AGUGAACGCUGGCGGUAGGCCUAACACAUGCAAGUCGAACGGCAGCACAGUAAGAGCUUGCUCUUACGGGUGGCGAGUGGCGUACGGGUGAGGAAUACAUCGGAAUCUACUUUUUCGUGGGGGAUAACGUAGGGAAACUUACGCUAAUACCGCAUACGACCUACGGGUGAAAGCAGGGGAUCUUCUUACCUUGCGCGAUUGAAUUAGCCGAUGUCGGAUUAGCUAGUUGGCGGGGUAAAGGCCCACCAAGGCGACGAUCCGUAGCUGGUCUGAGAGGAUGAUCGGCCAAACUGGAACUGAGCCACGGUCCAGACUCCUAAGGGAGGCGGCAGUGGCGAAUAUUAGACAAUGGGAGCAAGCCUGAUCCAGCCAUACCGCGUGGGUGAAGAAGGCCUUCGGGUUGUAAAGCCCUUUUGUUGGGAAAGAAAAGCAGUAGGUUAAUACCCCGCUGUUCUGACGGUACCCAAAGAAUAAGCACCGGCUAACUUCGUG